UACGGGGGGAGCAAGCGUUGUUCGGAUUUACUGGGCGUAAAGGGCGCGUAGGCGGUCGUGACAAGUCACUUGUGAAAUCUCUGGGCUUAACUCGGAACGGUCAAGUGAUACUGUCGGACUAGAGUACAGAAGGGGCAACUGGAAUUCUCGGUGUAGCGGUGAAAUGCGUAGAUAUCGAGAGGAACACCUGCGGCGAAGGCGGGUUGCUGGGCUGAUACUGACGCUGAGGCGCGAAAGCCAGGGGAGCGAACGGG
rnacentral:rRNA from 1 species